GCUCGGCACCACCAGGUAGUGGCCUGGACGCAGGCAGCAGCGGCGGGUCACGUCGCGGCGGGCGCUGAGGGGCGAGCGGUCGGCGCGCAGCAGCCGGGGCAGGAGCGCAUGGCUGCGCGGGGAAUCCCAGAGGCCCAGCAGCUGGGGACGGGGCGGCAUGACCACGGACCAGGCUCACCCCCGGCCCUUCAUCCCCGCACCCUCCAGCGCGCCCCGUCCACCCUGCCUAACCCCUGUCCACGCCUCCCCUGCCCCCGGACCCGGCUCUGCCCCCCCACCCCCAGGGCAGUUUGACCAAGCCCCAGGGCAGGUUGACCAAGCCCCAGGGCAGGUUGACCAAGCCCCAGGGCCGGUUGACCCCAUCCCAGACUCACCUCCUCUGGAAUCUGAAAGAAGCAAGAGCAAGGGGCGUCGGGGCAGGGGAGAGGUGGCCGCCGCUCAGGGUCUCCUCCCUGCCCCUUCUCACCUCUGUGCUCUCUCCCUCCUUCUUCGUCCUAUUAGACCCUUAUUGAACCUUUGCCCCGCAGUCCCCGACCCAGGCCCUCGCCGACCCCUCCCCAACUCUUCCUUCCCCAUCUGCGCUCCCAGCGCCUUCUCUGUAUCCUUGGUCCCCUCUGGCCCUUCUAACCCCCAGCCUCUCUCUGUCCCUAACCUCGUCCCUCUGUCUGUCCCUGAGCCCCUCCCUCUCAUUCCCUUAGCUCCCUCUCCCCUCUGAGACCUGGCCCCCCAGCCCUACUAGCCCCCUACUCCCCUCCCAGCGCCGCCCCCUCUUGGCCCUGCUCCUCCACUCCUCCCCUCCUCCCCGAUCCUCUUCAGUCCCACCCCUCCACCACUCCCCCUCUUCCCCCUUGGCCCCGCCCUCCACACCUCCCCUCUUCCCACUGGCCCCGCCCCUCCAUGCCUCCCCCGCUCCUUGGCCCGGCCCCGCCCCUCCACCCUCCGGGUUCCCUCCAGCCUCAGCUUUGCCCAGGACCUCACCUGGAACACGUGGAAGCCAACGGUGAGGCUCCAGCAGCGUUAAACGGAACUGAGGAUUGGUCCAGAAGGUUUCUAAGGGAGGAGGAAAAAAGGGGGUUUCCUAGCCGGCCACAGCGCCCCCCACCCCAGGAAGCCUCUCAGGGCCCCUCAGGCCUCACCAGCAUUAGGCUGGCUCCCGCCGGAGUUGAAGCCACGCACCCAGCGGCCUUGGAAGGUGUGGACGUGCCAGCCGCCCCCCUCCGGGCUGGGGCCCAGCACCUCCGGGCUCAGCGAGCAGAUCUGCACGGUGUCGAAAUGGAGGAGGAAGUCCCGCAGCUCCAUCCUGCACGGUGGCCCAGUCAGACCCUGCCCGGCCCCACCUCGAGGGGGUCCCAAGAUCCCGGAAAUGACUCCCAGAUCCCAAAGCCCCUCACAUUUCUUAAAUAUUGUCAAAUACC